UCUCCAGAAUUUCUUGAUGGAAAAGAAAUUAAAAAUAUAGAAAGACAAUUCCUAAUGAAUUGGAAAGCAUCCAAAGAUGCCAAGAAAAUCAGCAAAAAAAGGAGCAGUAAAAAUGAGGAUGCAAGCAAUUCACUCAUAAGUAACUUCAAAACAAUGCAUCAUAUAGUUCCUGUUUAUUACCCACAGGUGGGUAAGCCAAAAUUAGCCUUUUUCUCUGAAAUACAGAGAUACCCUGUAAAUGCAAAUGCAUCUCCAGAAAGUUCCUGAGAAGAUUACACUAAAAUUAUUUAAGAGAUGGGGAAUCUCUCUUUGAAGCAAUCUGAAAGCUUGCUGACAAAAAAUGAUGUGCAUGAACCUCACCUCUUCCAUAACCCAGAAGAAAAAGAAAAUUUGUUUGUGGAAAAUGAGUAAAUUCAGCCUCAAGUGACAGGAAACGUUUGAUUUUGUUUUUAACCUUAUAUGACUAGGCAACAAUAUCUUUUGUGGGUUUGUAGCUUUAUGGUAUCUCAUAAUAUAAGGAAAAACUUUUAA
rnacentral:lncRNA from 1 species